UUGAUAGCUUUGCAGACUGAUGUCUUCCUGUUAGCCCUAGACCAAGUAUAGCACUGGCAACAGCAGCAGUGAAAGAUACUCCACACUGCUCUGUCUGCCAACGUGCCUCCAGCCUGACCUGGAGGAGCUCACUGGAAGGUAUAAACUGUUAACUGAACUCACCAACAAGGGCUCUA
ensembl:misc_RNA